CCUACGGGAGGCUGCAGUGAGGAAUAUUGGUCAAUGGUCGGGAGACUGAACCAGCCAAGCCGCUUGAGGGAGGAAGGUACAGAGUAUCGUAAACCUCUUUUGUCAGGGAACAAAGGCGGGGCCGUGUCCCCGGAUGAGUGUACCUGAAGAAAAAGCAUCGGCUAACUCCGUGCCAGCAGCCGCGGUAAUACGGAGGAUGCGAGCGUUAUCCGGUUUUAGGGGGUUAAAAGGGUGCGCAGGGGGGUUGUUAAGUCAGCGGUAAAGGCCCGGGGCUAAACGCCGGCCCGCCGUUGAAACUGGCAGGCUCGAGUUGGAGAGAAGUAUGCGGAAUGCGCGGUGUAGCGGUGAAAUGCAUAGAUAUCGCGCAGAACUCCGAUUGCGAAGGCAGCAUGCGGGCUCCACACUGACGCUGAGGCACGAAAGCGUGGGUAUCGAACAGGAUUAGAUACCCCGGUAGUC
rnacentral:rRNA from 1 species